GGAUUACGGCUACAACGCCGGCGCCCUCGCCCUGCCCGUGCCCCUCGCCAACGUCCACGUCCUGCUGCCCCUGGACGAGCCCGUCACCAACGUGCGGCUGCAGCCGGCUGCCAGCUGGAACCUGGAGGAGAAGAGGCUGCUCUGGAAGCUGCUGGACGUCCCCGGUGCGCCGGGGCAGGGAGGUGAGGCUGCGCCCCCCCUGCUUACGGGGUCUGGAUCCAACCCCUUGCUGGGCUGCCCCAAUCUCGUUCCCCCCUUUGUGGGCAUGGGGUCAGGUCCCCCACCUCCUGCUCUGUCCCCCCCCCCAGGCAGCGGCCGGCUCUCGGCCAGCUGGGAGCCCCUGUGCGGGCCCAGUAAGCCCAGUCCCGUGGCAGCCCAGUUCAGCAGCGAGGGCAGCACCCUGUCGGGCGUCGAGGUGGAGCUGGCGAGCGCCGGUUACCGCAUGUCGCUGGUCAAGAAGAGGUUUGCUACGGGUAUGGCCACCUGGGCCCCAUAAGCACGGGUUCCUUGCCUUGUCUUGCAUGUAGGGGGGGGUCCCUUCCCCGCCCCAUAGGGUGCACGGGGUCCCUUCCCUGUCCCCUAUAGCCCCGAGGUGCAUGGGGUCAUUUCCUCAUCCCCUAUAGUCCUGGGGCGCACGGGGUCCCUUCCUUGUACCCUAUUGUCCUAGGGUGCACGGGGUCCCUUCCUUGUCCCCUAUAGUCCUGGGGUGCAUGGGGUCAUUUCCCCAUCCCCUAUAGUCCUGGGGUGCACGGGGUCCCUUCCCUGUCCCCUACAGCCCCGGGGUGCACAGGGUCCUUUCUCCAUUCCCUAUGGUCCUGGGGGGCAUGGGGUCUCUUUCCCAUCCCCUAC
rnacentral:lncRNA from 1 species